GAUCAGGCUCAGGAUGAACGCUAGCUACAGGCUUAACACAUGCAAGUCGAGGGGAAACGACAUCGAAAGCUUGCUUUUGAUGGGCGUCGACCGGCGCACGGGUGAGUAACGCGUAUCCAACCUGCCCACCACUUGGGGAUAACCUUGCGAAAGUAAGACUAAUACCCAAUGACAUCCCACGAAGACAUCUGAAUGGGAUUAAAGAUUUAUCGGUGAUGGAUGGGGAUGCGUCUGAUUAG
rnacentral:rRNA from 1 species